rnacentral:rRNA from 1 species
GACGGACCGCACAAACGUUAUUCGGAAUCACUGGGCUUAAAGGGUGCGUAGGCGGUCCGGAAAGUUGGGUGUGAAAUCCCUCGGCUCAACCGAGGAACUGCGCUCAAAACUACCGGACUUGAGGGAGACAGAGGUGAGCGGAACUCAGGGUGGAGCGGUGAAAUGCGUUGAUAUCCUGAGGAACACCAGUUGCGAAGGCGGCUCACUGGGUCUUUUCUGACGCUGAGGCACGAAAGCUAGGGGAGCGAAGAGGAUUAGAUACCCUCGUAGUCCUAGCCGUAAACGAUGAGCACUUGGUCGGAGAAUCCUCCAUAGUUUUCCGGCCGUAGCGAAAGUGUUAAGUGCUCCGCCUGGGGAGUAUGGUCGCAAGGCUGAA